rnacentral:tRNA from 1 species
GUAAGUAUAGUUUAACGAAAAUAUUAAAUUGUGAUUCUAAAGACAGGGGUUAAAGUCCCCUUACUCACC